rnacentral:rRNA from 1 species
AUGUAUGGACGGUAUAAGUGCUGAAAGCAUCUAAGCAUGAAGCCCCCCUCAAGAUGAGAUUUCCCAACUUCGGUUAUAAGAUCCCUCAAAGAUGAUGAGGUUAAUAGGUUCGAGGUGGAAGCGUAGCGAUACGUGGAGCUGACGAAUACUAAUCGAUCGAAGACUUAAUCAAUUU